GACCCCAGGUCAGGCGGGGUUACCCGCUGAGUUUAAGCAUAUCAAUAAGCCGGAGGAA
rnacentral:rRNA from 1 species